GGAGAGGUGGCAGAGCUGGUCGAAUGCGCGCGACUGGAAAUCGCGUCUACGGGGCAAAACUUCGUAGCGUGGGUUCGAAUCCCACCCUCUCCGCCA
rnacentral:tRNA from 1 species